AUCCGAUCAAUUUAAUUUUUUAUAAGUAUAUUCUACUUAAUAUAUUAUAAAAAGUGAACAGUUCAAAUCAUCAAAACGAACUCCCAAAAUAGGCCCAAAUACUCGUACAGUAGUAGUUGUUGUGCCUCUGUACAGUAGCCACACCAUCUCUAUAUAAAUAUUGAGUAGUACUACACUAAACAUUUUAUACCACCUAAUGUAUUAGCAUAUCAUUUGCUAUAAAAAUAAGGACAAACUUCACUUUACCCCCACAUGGUUUAGGCCAUGUGUGGAUUACCCCAUGACUUUUAAAUAUCAUCGCAUAACCCCAUUGUGGUUGAUAGAUUAAAACGCACAAUUAGCUUUUCCAUCCAAAUUAACGGGUUGUGACACUACAACAAAAUGCACUUUUGGCGACUAAAAAAAAUUUAGUCGUCAAAGCUUAUGGAAUUAGCAACUAAAUUUUUUUUAGUCGGCAAAAGUACAAUAUUUAGCUAUUAAUUUUUUUUUAUAGGGAAAUAUUGAUUAUUGGCGACUUAAAAAAAAUUUAGUCCCUAAAAAUGUCACAAUUGGUGGCUAAAAAGUGUUUUAGUCACUGUAUAUAUAGUUUUGGCUACUAAAAUUUUUUAGUCGGCAAAUGAAAAAGUAAAAAUUUUCUUUUUAUUUUUGGCAACCAAAAAAUUAGUUGUCAAAAUUAGCGACUAAAAAAUAUUUUAGUUGCCAAACAAUUAAAAUAUUUGGAGGGAAAAUUUCAAAAUUUGGAGGGAUGUAUAAAAUUAAUCGGUGACCAAAAUGUUUAGUCGCCAAAUUAUUACUUUUAGCGACUAAAAUAAUAUUUAGUCGCUGUUAAUUAAGGUUUUGGCUACUAAAAAAAGUUUAGUCGCCAUUGAUCAAAUUUUGUUCCUUAAUUAGACUACUAUGUCAAUCCUCUCCCAUUUUACUCUCUCAUCAUCCUUCUUCUCUCUCUCUCUCUCUCUCUCACACACUCCAUCGCAGACGACCCUCCUACCAGCCACCGUCCACCACUGUUGCACACAAGCACCUACCUCCUCACCGGCGACGGUACAACCCACAUCCCCACCAGCGACGGUACCACCCAUCUCUCCACUAGCGACGGACAACAGUAGCUACUUUGAUUUGUGUCUCCUCUAGCGCGCACCAGGUGGCCAAAGAAAUGGAGCAAAUGGAGAUGUAGCCCAUGAUCACUACUUGGAUGGUUUGACUGAAUCCUCAAAGUUGAAGAGCUCAAGGAUUUAUGAUAAAUUUCAAACAUGAUGUGUAAUAUAUGCAGCCCAAAGUGGAUAUGAGGAAAAUGUGCCCACUUUC